GAUGAACGCUAGCGGCAGGCUUAAUACAUGCAAGUCGUGGGGCAGCAGGGGCGUAGCAAUACGCUCGCUGGCGACCGGCAAACGGGUGCGGAACACGUACACAACCUUCCUUUAAGUGGGGAAUAGCCCGGGGAAACCCGGAUUAAUACCCCGUAACAUAAUGAAGUGGCCUCGCUUUAUUAUUAUAGCUCCGGCGCUUGAAGAUGGGUGUGCGACUGAUUAGGCAGUUGGCGGGGUAACGGCCCACCAAACCUACGAUCAGUAACUGUGGUGAGAGCACGACCAGUCACACGGGCACUGAGACACGGGCCCGACUCCUACGGGAGGCAGCAGUAAGGAAUAUUGGUCAAUGGACGCAAGUCUGAACCAGCCAUGCCGCGUGGAGGAUGAAGGUCCUCUGGAUUGUAAACUUCUUUUAUCUGGGAAGAAAUCCAUGAAUUCUUUUGUGGUUGACGGUACCAGAUGAAUAAGCACCGGCUAACUCCGUGCCAGCCGCCGCCGUAA
rnacentral:rRNA from 1 species